rnacentral:rRNA from 1 species
UACGAAGGGGGCUAGCGUUGUUCGAAAUUACUGGGCGUAAAGCGCACGUAGGCGGAUCGAUCAGUCAGGGGUGAAAUCCCAGAGCUCAACUCUGGAACUGCCUUUGAUACUGUCGAUCUGGAGUAUGGAAGAGGUGAGUGGAAUUCCGAGUGUAGAGGUGAAAUUCGUAGAUAUUCGGAGGAACACCAGUGGCGAAGGCGGCUCACUGGUCCAUUACUGACGCUGAGGUGCGAAAGCGUGGGGAGCAAACAGG